rnacentral:rRNA from 1 species
UACGUAGGGUGCGAGCGUUAAUCGGAAUUACUGGGCGUAAAGCGUGCGCAGGCGGUUCUCCAAGUCCGUUGUGAAAGCCCCGGGCUCAACCUGGGAAUGGCAGUGGAAACUAGGGGACUGGAAUCUGGCAGAGGGGGGUGGAAUGCCGCGUGUAGCAGUGAAAUGCGUAGAGAUGCGGCGGAACACCGAUGGCGAAGGCAGCCCCCUGGGCUGAGAUUGACGCUCAGGCACAAAAGCGUGGGGAGCAAACAGG